rnacentral:sRNA from 1 species
GCUGGGCAUGGUAGCACACACCUGUAGUCUCUGCUACUUGAGAGUCUGAGGCAGGAGGAUCACUUGUGCUCAGGAGCUCUGGAUUAGCCUGGGCAACAUAGUGAGAGUCCUCCGUCUC